GCAUUUACCUGGAGGCUUUGUGUUCCGCCAGACGCUUAGCCUAGUCUUUAAUAAAUGCCAUAGAAAAAUGCUUGAAUCGGACAUUAUUCCCACAUUGACUGCCAACAGUGCGGGAAUAUUAUAUGGUUCAAGCGAUAAU
rnacentral:snoRNA from 2 species